UACGUAUGGGGCAAGCGUUGUUCGGAUUUAUUGGGCGUAAAGGGCGUCUAGGCGGGGAAUUAAGUUAGGUGUGAAAUCCACGGGCUCAACUCGUGAACUGCAUCUAAAACUGGUUCUCUUGAGUUCGGGAUAGGAGAGCGGAAUUCCAGGUGUAGCGGUGAAAUGCGUAGAUAUCUGGAAGAACACCAGUGGCGAAGGCGGCUCUCUGGCCUAGAACUGACGCUGAAGCGCGAAAGCGUGGGGAGCGAACGGG
rnacentral:rRNA from 1 species